rnacentral:rRNA from 1 species
UACAGAGGGUGCUAGCGUUAAUCGGAUUUACUGGGCGCAAAGCGUGUGUAGGCGGUUUGUUAAGUCGGGUGUGAAAUCCCUGGGCUCAACCUGGGAAUUGCAUUCGAUACUGGCAAGCUAGAGUACGGUAGAGGGCGGCGGAAUUCCGGGUGUAGCGGUGAAAUGCGUAGAUAUCCGGAGGAACACCGAUGGCGAAGGCAACCGCCUGGGCCUGUACUGACGCUGAGACACGAAAGCGUGGGGAGCAAACAGG